rnacentral:rRNA from 1 species
GUCCACGCCGUAAACGCUGUCUACUAGCUGUUUGGUGUUUGAUUACGCUGAGUAGCGAAGCUAACGCGCUAAGUAGACCGCCUGGGGAGUACGGCCGCAAGGUUAAAACUCAAAUGAAUUGACGGGGGCCCGCACAAGCGGUGGAGCAUGUGGUUUAAUUCGAUGCAACGCGAAGAACCUUACCUACACUUGACAUGCACAGAAGUUCUCAGAGAUGGGAAUGUGCCUUCGGGAACUGUGACACAGGUGCUGCAUGGCU